GACGAACGCUGGCGGCGUGCUUAACACAUGCAAGUCGAACGGAAAGGCCUUUUCGGAGGUACUCGAGUGGCGAACGGGUGCGUAACACGUGGGUGAUCUGCCCUGCACUCUGGGAUAAGCCUGGGAAACUGGGUCUAAUCCCGUAUAGGACCGCACUUUAGUUUGUGUGGUGGAAAGUUUUUUCGGUGUAGGAUGAGCCCGCGGCCUAUCAGCUUGUUGGUGGGGUAAUGGCCUACCAAGGCGGCGACGGGUAGCCGGACUGAGAGGUUGGUCGGCCACAUUGGGACUGAGAGACGGCCCAGACUCCUACGGGAGGCAGCAGUGGGGAAGAUUGCACAAUGGGCGCAAGCCUGAUGCAGCGACGCCGCGUGGGGGAUGACGGCCUUCGGGUUGUAAACUCCUUUCGCCAGGGACGAAGCGUUUUGUGACGGUACCUGGAGAAGAAGCACCGGCUAACUACGUG
rnacentral:rRNA from 1 species